CGCAUACAUGUACACGUACUCACAUACAAACACACACAUAAUUGUUAAAAUAAUAAAAAGAAGCUCCUGGUGGUAAACGGAGCAAAACCAGCAAACAUAUUGUGGCUUACAAUCAUCUGUAAGUCCAGUUCAGGGGGAUCCGGGUCCUCUUCUGGCCUCGGUGGACACAAGGCACAACACACACACACACACACACACACACACACACACACACACACGGUACACAUACAUACAUGCAGGUAAACAGCUCAACGAUUUAAAGUAAAUUAGACAAAUAUAAAUCUCAUUUAUUUGCCAGGAGUGGUGGCACACACCUUUGAUUCCAGCAUUCAGAGGCAUAGACAGGUAGAUCUCUGGGAGUUCAAGGCCAGCCUACAAUCUGGAAAAAGGUAACUUGGGCCCUUGGGAACAACCCCGUGGUCUGGGCCAAAUUCUUAAAAAAACCUCUCUUCAAAGGCCACUGGGCACAGGACCCAUGGGACCCCACAGUCCAGUGCAAUUAAACUAAUAGAAAUGGAUUUGUUGAGAGAGAAAAUGAAAGGAAAAAAAAAUUUUAAAAAGGAGCUAACUCCAGGUGUACACCUGUGCGGAAAUGGAAGCAGGAAGGUCAGCAAUCCAGUGUCAUCCUCAGCUACAUGUCCCUUCUUUAGGGAGUAGGUACCGGUUUUUCUCUGUUUCUGCUGAGCCGUGAAGCACAGAGCAGUUAAAGGAUCUGCUGAAGACCACACAGCCGUCCAGGUGUCCAGCCUCGGCUGCAAAUCAAAUCAAGAGUCCCGAGCCAAACACUCAAGUCCUAAACGCUACUGCCUCCCUGUGGAGAGUCUUCCAGUUGCAAGAGACCCGCCCGGCUUUUAAACCCUCCCUUGCUGAGACCUCGCAGCCACGGGUCUGCGUGAGAUCCUGCCUCAAAACAGACAAAAUGAGGGACUAAACAAACAGGUCUCCAGGUGUCCCUAGGGGCCGUGUUCCCCAGUGGCUGACUCUGACUUAACCUCUGGGAACUUGAGGGGUCUUUAAACCAGGGUCUCGGCCACAUGUGGGGGAGUCAUCCCUGUAACCUGAGCACUUGGGAAGCUGAGGCAGGAGGACCGCUGCAAUGUUCCGGCAAGACUGAGCGAGAAAUUACUUUCAAGAACGAGCAACGGUAAUACAGCUGCUGGCAUUUCUAUGCUGGACAGCUCAUUACUGAGGGCUUCUGUGCACUGAGUGUUCAGUGGCCCUGUCUCCCAUGUGACAACCAAAAAUGUCUCCACAUGGUGACAGGUCCCCUGAGGGAAACAGAAUUUCAAAAUCUGCCUCUAGACCAACAACUUAAAGAAACUAAAAUCUUAGGCCUGUC